CAAUGAGCCACUAAGUGAGUCGACAAGUGAGGUUACGAAAGCAUCGUUAAUGAAAAAAAGGAAAGGAAGAAUUGUAGAUACAGCAUGGCGAAGUGAAUAGAUUGUAAAAUUAAUCGGUACCACGGACCGAGCCUAUGACAUUAUGCAAUGUCCGCUUUUCGUAAUACAUAUAGUCUACAAAUGAAAUAAAGAAAAAAAAACGGAUCACCCACGCUGGCCACGUUCGCCUUGGAUCGCAACCGCUCGAUGGCGGUUCGAAACCGCCCUCGAUCGACGGUGUCUCCCCCGUGUUUGUUUUCCUUGUAAGGUCGACGAUAUUACACGACGUGCGACAUCGGGGAUAGAAGAUUCAGGUGGGAGGAUCGAGUCUGGACCACGCGCGGAGAUCAAACAAGAGAGGGGGAUCUAAACGAGAGGCAAACUGGCAUUGAAAUCUCUGUGGUGUAACUUCGGAACAAUUAUGAUUAUCAUGGAUUAAAGCAAGAUCUUACAAGAGCAACAAAACAGAAAGGAGACCGCUGCAGAUUAGGACGAGAAUAAGGGUUACCUUUAACUACCGGAUGGGAUCAGGGACCUAACCGAGCAGCAAGGUCGCCACUCUCCGAGCUCUAUGCUAGAACAGUGGUUAUUGGAUUAGUUGAGAAGCUUCCAGUUUUACCAAUGAAGAAAGUUCAUCUUGAAGAACGUUCUAACUCGCAGAUAGAUUGUAGCCUGCACCCAGUCAUUCCCAUGCAAGUCUUCUAGCUACACUCAAGUAUAUUCUUGGUUCGGUAAUCAGCAUGCAAGGCAGGCCGUCUCGCUGUCCCCUCAAAUCACUCUACUACAGAUCCCCUAAUUGUCCGGGGCAGCGUAUGAUUACGUUAGUAUUUUCUGAGCGCGCGCACUCGCGGCACGCCGGAUAAAUAUCAAUGGUAGAUGUUCGUGGACACGUAGACUCAUCGAUGCAGCCAAGUAUUUACGUCUGACCAGCGUUAUUGAUACCUCAAUUAAUAUUCCACGCGGUCGUCUAUGCAACAGUGCGUGCGAGCCACCGCGUUUUAAAAUAUUCUUCAAGAUCUGAGCUACACAAACGCUUAUAAUAGCUUCUUUUGACCAAUAGACCAUGAUUUUGUGAUAUAAACUAACAACAUUGUGAGAAGCGAA